CAGCCACAAGCCCUCCUCCAUCGCCCCCACCCCCCGCCCUGCGCGCAGACAUCCUGCAGACGGCCCACCCGCCAGCGCGGGCUCCUCUCCGGCUGCUGAGCCAUUUCGCUUCCUCUGUGAGGACACAGGGAAAAAAUGUGUUUUCCUGGGCCUUGGCAGCCAGCGCCUGCGGCGCCUCCUCCCUGCUGGCAGCGGGGCAAAGCCGGGAGAACGCAGCACACGGGGAAGCUGGAGUGCGGGGUCCCAGCUCUGGUUCUGCCACCUACUCAUCUGCGCUGUGUGACUUCAGGUCAGCUGAGAUGUCACCGCCUCAGAGAGGCCUUUCCUGACCACCCUGGCUGAAGGAGCCCCCACCUCUGACACUCAUUUUCAUUUUACAUUAAUAUCUCCAUAUGGGAUCAUCUUGUCUAUAUAGUUGCUCACUAUUUAGUGUCUGUCUUCCCCAACCAGAGUGUAAGUUUCAUGAGGGUAGAACCUUGUCUGUGUCAUCCAGUGCUGUAUGUCCUGUGCCUAGAACAGUGCUGGCUGCAUAGUAAGCCUUCAGUAAAUACUUGCUGAGGAAAUAAAUCAGUGAAGGCUCAGAGAGGUAAAGUGACUCUCCAAAGUCACCCAGCUAGGAAGUACAAGAACUGGAAUUUGAGUCCAGAUCUGACCGAUUCCUGGUCUGGACAUCUGGGCCUAUGCUCAACUGGAAGGGGCCCAGCAUACAUGUAAGCAACGUGUUGUUCAGUGAUUGGAACCCCACCCAAAAGAGGUGACUUUGGGGACAGUUUAUUCUCCCUUUCCUUUGCUCCUGCUGUUCCACCGCCUGACGCGCCUGCCUUCACUCCCAGAGCCAUCUUCUCUGUGAGCCUGCGUCAUAGCACCUUCCUUAUUUCACUGCGUAGGGCUUAGGACCUCCCCAACUAGGAGGUCUUCGUGUGGCGCCCUGGUGACAGGCAAGGCUCCCUUCCCUUGACAUAGUGUAACGUGACUUCAGAAUCCUUGUUAUGCUUUCCUGCCUCUGGGCCUUAGUCCCCCUGGGAUUGUGACAUCUGUCCCUCACCUUCCAAAGCCCUUGGGUUUCAUAUGCAAAUUGGGCCCUAGCUCAACCAAGCAUUGAGGCAGCUUUGUCUGCACUCAAACAAUCCCCCCCAAAAUUGCCCAUUUGCCCUACCUUUUUAUCUCUAAGAGAGCCACUGUUGUUACCUCUUGGUGUACAAAAGUUCUCGAUUUUAGAAACUGCAUAAUUGUGAUUCUUGGUCAUCUAUAUCCCCAUUUUCUAUGAGUUUCUCAAGAACUGAGCCCAUAGUACGUACUCAACUAGUGAAUGAGUUCCUGCCCAGUAGACCUGCACAACAUCCCUGGACGCCGUGUUGCCAAGCCCUUCGCUCCCAUCCCCGGGCUGCCGCAUUUGGGGCAGGGCUUCAUUCUCCACCUGACAGGGACCGCUCCCCACAGGCGUGGCGCCCUUCCUGGUCAAGGUCGAGGGACGAGGUGCAAUGUUAUAUUUAAAUGUGGGUGCUCUCUGGCUUGAACGGAGUUCCUACUGGCCAAAUCUGGGACAAUUUGAGCAUCAAAAGAAGUAACAGUACUGAUGGAUUAUAACCUAUUGAAUAAGAAGAGUGCAUGAGUCCAUAGUAACGUGAAUAAAUAAGUAAAUGAGGAAAAGGUCCUGCUUACAAGAGAAGGAACGAUGCAGUUAAAAAAUGCCCAUUAGGCAACACCAUAGUAGUAACGGAUUCCAACCAGAAUCAUCAAUGGACAGGAAAAUUUGCUGAGAAAUAUAUUUACAUAGUCUCAAAGUAUUGCCCUACAGACAAUUAUUAAUUACAGAUGGAAAGACAGUAACUCUAUAGCGGAGAUACCUGGCACCACCUUUACCAAGUCAUCAAAGUUAAUUAAUAUCACCAGUAAUGGGACAAAUUGGCAUGUGUAUUUCCUAAAUGAUGCACUGAGAAGGACACAGCAUGACUUCUGUGGUAUUCCUGUCCAAAACUCGUACAAUAAAUCUAAUCGUGAGGAAACAUCAGACAAACCUAAACUGAGAGAAGUUCUAUAAAAUAACUGGACUGUGGGCUUAAAAAGUGACAAGUCCGUGAAAGACAAAGAAGGCCUGGGAACUGAUCCCGAAUGAAGCAAUCUAAGGAGCCGGGAGGACUCAAGGCAAUGUGUGACCCAGGAUUCUCCUUUGCGGUAAGGUCACUGUUAAGAUAAUUGGUAAAAUCCGAAUACAGUCUGUAGAUGGACGUUAAUUUCCUGAUUUUGAUCAUUGUCCUGUGGUCACGUAAGAGAGUGUGCUUGAUUUUAGGAAAUGUACACUGGAGCAUUUAGAGGGAAAGGGGCAUCCUGUCUGCAAUUUACUCUCAAAUAGUUCAGAACAAGAUAGAUGGAUAGAUAGAUAGAUAGAUAGAUGGAUAGAUGGAAGAGUAUAAAGAAAAUGUGAUAAAAUAUUAACAAUUGGGGAAUCUGGGUGAAGAACAUACAGAAAUUCUCCAUCAUUCCUGCAAUUUUUGUUGUAAUAAAAAAUUGUUUUUUUUGUUUUUUUGUUUUUUUAAGUAGGGGCUCUCAAGUCAGCCUGUGGGCUCAAAUCCUGGCGUCACCCCUCACCAGCUGAGUGACUUCACCCCUCCCUGCCUCAGUCUCCCCCUUUGUAAACUGGGCUUUAAUAGGAGCGCCUACUUCAUGGAUUGUGACACAAUUUAAUGCAUUCACACUUAAAAGCAUUUGGCACAACGCCUAGUAUGGAAUAAAAGAUCAAUAAAUAU